GAUGAAGAACGCAGCGAAAUGCGAUAAGUAAUGUGAAUUGCAGAAUUCAGUGAAUCAUCGAAUCUUUGAACGCACCUUGCGCCCUUUGGCUAUUCCGAAGGGCAUGCCUGUUUGAGUAUCGUGAACACCUCAACUCUCAUGGUUUGCCAUGAUGAGCUUGGACUUUGGGGGUUUUGCUGGCCUUUGGUCGGCUCCUCUCAAACGGAUCAGCUUUCCAGUGUUUGGUGGCGUCACGGGUGUGAUAACUAUCUACGCCUGUGGUUUUCUGCCAGAUAACCUUCAGCGAUGGAGGUUCGCUGGGGCUCAUAAAUGUCUCUCUUCAGUGGAGACAGCUUUUUGGACGUUUGAUCUCAAAUCAGGUAGGACUACCCGCUGAACUUAAGCAUAUCAAAAGCGGAGGA
rnacentral:misc_RNA from 1 species